AACUGCUUUUAUGUGGGAAUAAAGUGGCGCACGUGUGCGCCAUUGCAUGUACCUCAUGAAUAAGGACCGGCUAAUUCCGUGCCAGCAGCCGCGGUAAUACGGAAGGUCCGGGCGUUAUCCGGAUUUAUUGGGUUUAAAGGGAGUGUAGGCGGUCUGUUAAGCGUGUUGUGAAAUUUAGGUGCUCAACAUUUAACUUGCAGCGCGACCUGUCAGACUUGAGUACACGCAGCGCAGGCGGAAUUCAUGGUGUAGCGGUGAAAUGCUUAGAUAUCAUGAGGAACUCCGAUCGCGAAGGCAGCCUGCGGGAGUGUUACUGACGCUUAAGCUCGAAGGUGCGGGUAUCGAACAGGAUUAGAUACCCUGGUAGUCC
rnacentral:rRNA from 1 species